rnacentral:rRNA from 1 species
GUAACGGCGAGUGAAGCGGGAAGAGCUCAUGUUGUGAAUCUGGCCCUCGGGCCCGAACUGUACACUGGAGAGGCGAGGCCAGCCGCUGUCCGCGGCCAAGUCUGAUUGGAAAUGAGCAUCAAGGAGGGUGACAAUCCCGUCCAUGCCGCGGUAUCGAUCAGCGCGCGUCCGGCCCGCUUUCGACGAGUCGAGUUGCUUGGGAUUGCAGCUCAAAGAGGGUGGUAAACUCCAUCCAAAGCUAAACACGGGGGGGAGACCGAUAGCGAACAAGUACCGUGAGGGAAAGAUGCAAAGAACUUUGAAAAGAGAGUUAAAGAGUGCCUGAAAUUGCUGGAAGGGAAGCGAAGGAAAGAAGUGUGCGGUUGCCCGGGCGCCAACCCCUACCUGUUCGCAGGUGGGGGUAGGCCGCCCGGCCGCGGUCAGGGGUCGCGCCGGGCUCGGGGGAAGAGCCGUCGGGGAUCGGUAGGCGUUCCGCUUCGGCGGGGCGCUGUCAGGCCCCGGCGGUUGGGUGUUCACGGGGUGCUGUGCUACUCGCUAGCUAGUACUUUGUUGUUCACCUUUUACUGUUGCCCUGGGCCCGGCCCCCUUCUGGCGGUCGCGGCUUUUCUUCACCCCGUCUUGAAACACGGACCAAGGAGUCUAGCGUGGACGCGAGUAGAGGGGUGUGGAAACCCCCUUGCGCAAUGAAGGUGAACGCCGGUGGGAGGCCGUCCUUUGUUGGGCGGCCAGCACCAUCGACCGAKCGUGCUCCUCCGGGGGCAAGGCUUGAGUGUGAGCGUGCAUGCUGGGACCCRAAAGAUGGUGAACUAUGCCUGAAUAGGGCGAAGCCAGGGGAAACUCUGGUGGAGGCUCGUARCGAUUCUGACGUGCAAAUCGAUCGUGAGAUUUGGGUAUAGGGGCGAAAGACUAAUCGA